AACGAACGCUGGCGGCAUGCCUAACACAUGCAAGUCGAACGAGACCUUCGGGUCUAGUGGCGCACGGGUGCGUAACGCGUGGGAACCUGCCCUUAGGUUCGGAAUAACUCCCCGAAAGGGGUGCUAAUACCGGAUAAUGUCUUCUGACCAAAGAUUUAUCGCCUUUGGAUGGGCCCGCGUUGGAUUAGCUGGUUGGUAGGGUAAAAGCCUACCAAGGCGACGAUCCAUAGCUGGUCUGAGAGGAUGAUCAGCCACACUGGGACUGAGACACGGCCCAGACUCCUACGGGAGGGAGGAGUGGGGAAUAAUGGAAAAUGGGCGAAAGGAUGAUGCAGCAAUGACGGGUGAGUGAUGAAGGUCUUAGGGUUGUAAAGCUCUUUUAACCGGGAUGAUAAUGACAGUACCGGGAGAAUAAGCUCCGGCUAACUACGUG
rnacentral:rRNA from 1 species